rnacentral:pre_miRNA from 1 species
CACCUAUAAUGAUUAGUAAUAUAGGUGGAAUCCCAGCCGUCCGAUCUUUAUCGGGUGGUUCAAAAUACAUGUAACUAUAUGAAUUUUAAUCAUUUAUUUAGAAAUCAGAUUGAAAUGAAAUUUUGGGUGUAUAUACUUAACACCCUUGUGCAUCAUAUAAAAAUAUAAAAAAAUACUUUUCAGAAUUAAAAAUUACCAAAUUACCCCCAUCAUUUGUCAGGGAUAUAUAUUUUGGAAGAUAUUAUUCUAUAUUAUUUCUUGUAUUACCUAUUUUUAGUACACAUGCUCAAAAUUUCAUCACGAUCAGAUUUCUAAAAAAAAGAUUAAAGUUCUGAUAGUGAUAUGUAUUUUGGACCACCUGAUGAAGAUCAGACUGCUGGGAUUCCACCUAUAUUAUUAUUCAUAUAGGUG